AAGUCGUAACAAGGUUUCCGUAGGUGAACCUGCGGAAGGAUCAGUAGAGAAAACCGCUGGCGCAAGCCGGCAAUCUACCCACACACACCUGUGAACCGUUAUAUCCGGGAUGCGGAUUAGCUCCGGCGAAACCGUCCCAUUUACAAAACAUCUUAUAAUGUCAUGAACGUAGUCUUAUUUUAAUAAAUAAAA
rnacentral:misc_RNA from 1 species